AAUGAAUCAGCAAAUGCUGCGUCUCAAAAUAAUCCAAACAUCAAAUAAAAUCACACAUUGUGUCUUUAUUAAUUAACUGUUGGAUAAAUAAAAUCACUUGGUGAAAUUCAAAAGACAUGGAAACUUGGUGAAAUUUUGUGUGUGUUAUUUUUCAGUUUUGAAGUGUGAGAAGUCGUGCAGAUAUUACAAAUUUAUUUUAAAGUCACAACACAUCCAACCAUAAAGAUGACGAACCAACAGCGAAUCAUAAAGAAAAAAGUCGCAUAAAUUUCCUUGUAAUAGGCAAUAAUAUACCUAGUAAUAUACCUUAUCGGAAGGUAGUUAUAGCUCAUAGGUCAAGAACGGAACAAUGUUCAAACAACAACAACCGGGAACAUAACAUCCAAACGUCUCCCAAUCUCUUCAAUGCGGACUAAAAUUAAAAAAAUGAAGUUUGCAAAUUAAUUUCAUUUGAAUUUUAAAUGUGAUCCGUAGACAUGUAUGAUUUUCAUUCGAAUUAUA